AAAUUUAAAGAAUCUGGCGGUAUUUUAGUCUAUUCAGAGGAACCUGUCCUAUAAUUGAUAGUCCACGAUUAAUUGUACUUAUUUUUAGUUUGUAUAUCGUCGUAGGUUGAAUGUUUUAAAAGAAAAUGGAAUGUUCAUGAUUUAUAAUAAAUAAAGGAAAUCAGAUCAAGAUACAGCGUAUAAAUGAGUAGAGAUGGGUUACAAUAAAUUUAUUUAAACAGUUAAGGUAUUUAACAGUAUUUUUUAAGGUGGAUUUGAUAGUAAUAUAAUUUAAUUAAAUUAUAUGAUUUAAGCUCUAAAAUAUGCACAUAUCGCCCGUCGCUCCUUCUAUAAAGAAGGAUAAGUCGUAACAUAGUAGGUGUACUGGAAAGUGUACCUAGAAUGUCGAAUUAGAGCUUGAUAGAAAGCAUUUUAUUUACAUUAAAAAGUUAGUUGUGAGAAUCAAUUUAAUUUGAAAUUAAAAGUUUAUUAGUUAGUUAGUUGUAUAAAAAAAGUAUUUUUAAUGUUAGUAUAUUUAAGAAAUCAAUUUUAUAAUUAUAGUUUAGAGUAUAGUGAUAGAAUUAAGAAUUAGUAUGAAAAUUAAUUAUUUUAAAGAAGAAUUAAUUUUUUGUACCUUGUGUAUCAGGGUUUAUUAAAAUAAUUUAAUAAUAUUAGAGUUCUCGAAUUAAAAAGAGCUAUUACUAUAUAGAUAUAAUUGUUGCAAAAAUUUUUAAAAUAUGGUAAUUGUAAUGAAAUGUUAUUCGUUUUUUAAGAUAUCUAGUUUCUUAAGAAAUAAAUUUAAUUUAGUUUUUUAAUAUGGGUGCAUUAAUUGUUUGGUGUUUCUAUUUAAAAAUUUAAUAUUUUAAGGGAUAAGCUUUAAAAUAAAAUAUUAUAAGUUUCAUUUUAUACUCUAAAAGUUGGUAGGAUUGGAAAUGUUUAUCUGUAGUAUGUUAUAAUUAAUUUUUAGUUGAAUAAGAUUUAUAUAUUAUUUUAAUUUUUUUAUUAAGAAUAUACAUAUAAUUAUAUUUUGUAUGUAAUAAUGAUAAAAUUAGUAUAAUUUUAUGUUUGUGGUAUUGAGAUAUUUUAGGUUAAGUUAAGGAACUCGGCAAAUAUAUUUUUCGCCUGUUUAAUAAAAACAUGUCUUUUUGAUUAUAAUUUAAAGUCUAACCUGCCCAAUGAGGAGUUAAAUGGCCGCGGUAAUUUGACCGUGCAAAGGUAGCAUAAUCAUUAGUUUUUUAAUUGAAAGCUGGUAUGAAUGGUUGGACGAGAAAAUGACUGUCUCAAUUUAAUUUAAAUAGAAUUUUAUUUAUAAGUAAAAAAGCUUAUAUGAAUUUAAAAGACGAGAAGACCCUAUAGAAUUUUAUAUUUUUAAUAUUAUAUAUUUAUAGAAUUUUUAAUUUAUAAUAUGAUAAAAUAUUUUGUUGGGGCGACAAAAAAAUUGGUGUAACUUUUUUUAUAUAA
rnacentral:rRNA from 1 species